rnacentral:rRNA from 1 species
GAUGAACGCUGGCGGCGUGCCUAAUACAUGCAAGUCGAGCGAAUGGAUUAAGAGCUUGCUCUUAUGAAGUUAGCGGCGGACGGGUGAGUAACACGUGGGUAACCUGCCCAUAAGACUGGGAUAACUCCGGGAAACCGGGGCUAAUACCGGAUAACAUUUUGAACCGCAUGGUUCGAAAUUGAAAGGCGGCUUCGGCUGUCACUUAUGGAUGGACCCGCGUCGCAUUAGCUAGUUGGCGAGGUAACGGCUCACCAAGGCAACGAUGCGUAGCCGACCUGGGGGGGUGAUCGGCCAAGCUGGGACUGAGACACGGCCCAGACUCCUACGGGAGGCAGCAGUAGGGAAUCUUCCGCAAUGGACGAAAGUCUGACGGAGCAACGCCGCGUGAGUGAUGAAGGCUUUCGGGUCGUAAAACUCUGUUGUUAGGGAAGAACAAGUGCUAGUUGAAUAAGCUGGCACCUUGACGGUACCUAACCAGAAAGCCACGGCUAACUACGUGCCAGCAGCCGCCGUAA